rnacentral:rRNA from 1 species
UACGUAGGUGGCAAGCGUUGUCCGGAUUUAUUGGGUUUAAAGGGUGCGUAGGCGGCCCUGUAAGUCAGUGCUGAAAUAUCCCAGCUUAACUGGGAGGGUGGCAUUGAUACUGCGGGGCUAGAGUACAGAUGAGGUAGGCGGAAUUGACGGUGUAGCGGUGAAAUGCUUAGAUAUCGUCAAGAACACCUAUAGCGAAGGCAGCUUACUAGGCUGUAACUGACGCUGAGGCACGAAAGUGUGGGGGAUCAAACAGG